rnacentral:rRNA from 1 species
UAGGGAAAUCUUCGGCAAUGGACGGAAGUCUGACCGAGCAACGCCGCGUGAGUGAAGAAGGUUUUCGGAUCGUAAAGCUCUGUUGUAAGAGAAGAACGAGUGUGAGAGUGGAAAGUUCACACUGUGACGGUAUCUUACCAGAAAGGGACGGCUAACUACGUGCCAGCAGCCGCGGUAAUACGUAGGUCCCGAGCGUUGUCCGGAUUUAUUGGGCGUAAAGCGAGCGCAGGCGGUUAGAUAAGUCUGAAGUUAAAGGCUGUGGCUUAACCAUAGUACGCUUUGGAAACUGUUUAACUUGAGUGCAAGAGGGGAGAGUGGAAUUCCAUGUGUAGCGGUGAAAUGCGUAGAUAUAUGGAGGAACACCGGUGGCGAAAGCGGCUCUCUGGCUUGUAACUGACGCUGAGGCUCGAAAGCGUGGGGAGCAAACAGGAUUAGAUACCCUGGUAGUCCACGCCGUAAACGAUGAGUGCUAGGUGUUAGACCCUUUCCGGGGUUUAGUGCCGUAGCUAACGCAUUAAGCACUCCGCCUGGGGAGUACGACCGCAAGGUUGA